CCCUUAGAUGUUCUGGGCUGCACGCGCGCUACACUGAAGGACUCAACGUGCUUGUCUCCUUGGCCGUCAGGUCUGGGUAACCCGUUGAACCUCCUUCGUGCUAGGGAUUGGGGCUUGUAAUUAUUCCCCAUGAACGAGGAAUUCCUAGUAAACGCAAGUCAUCAGCUUGCAUUGAUUACGUCCCUGCCCUUUGUACACACCGCCCGUCGCACCUACCGAUUGAAUGGUCCGGUGAAAUCUCGGGACGGCGGCUUGGUCGCUUGCGUCCGACUGCUGAAACUUGAUUAAACCAUAUCAUUUAGAGGAAGGUGAAGUCGUAACA
rnacentral:rRNA from 1 species